CCUACGGAGGGGCUGCAGUGGGGAAUAUUGGACAAUGGGGGGAACCCUGAUCCAGCCAUGCCGCGUGUGUGAAGAAGGCCCUCGGGUUGUAAAGCACUUUCAGUGAGGAAGAACGCCUGGUGGUUAAUACCCAUCAGGAAAGACAUCACUCACAGAAGAAGCACCGGCUAACUCCGUGCCAGCAGCCGCGGUAAUACGGAGGGUGCGAGCGUUAAUCGGAAUUACUGGGCGUAAAGCGCGCGUAGGUGGCUUGAUAAGCCGGUUGUGAAAGCCCCGGGCUCAACCUGGGAACGGCAUCCGGAACUGUCAAGCUAGAGUGCAGGAGAGGAAGGUAGAAUUCCCGGUGUAGCGGUGAAAUGCGUAGAGAUCGGGAGGAAUACCAGUGGCGAAGGCGGCCUUCUGGACUGACACUGACACUGAGGUGCGAAAGCGUGGGUAGCAAACAGGAUUAGAUACCCCGGUAGUC
rnacentral:rRNA from 1 species